CUACCUGCAGUCGACGAUGAUCAGGAGCUUGCUCCUGUGAUUAGUGGCGAACGGGUGAGUAACACGUGAGUAACCUGCCCCUGACUCUGGGAUAAGCGUUGGAAACGACGUCUAAUACUGGAUAUGAUCACUGGCCGCAUGGUCUGGUGGUGGAAAGAUUUUUUGGUUGGGGAUGGACUCGCGGCCUAUCAGCUUGUUGGUGAGGUAAUGGCUCACCAAGGCGACGACGGGUAGCCGGCCUGAGAGGGUGACCGGCCACACUGGGACUGAGACACGGCCCAGACUCCUACGGGAGGCAGCAGUGGGGAAUAUUGCACAAUGGGCGAAAGCCUGAUGCAGCAACGCCGCGUGAGGGAUGACGGCCUUCGGGUUGUAAACCUCUUUUAGUAGGGAAGAAGCGAAAGUGACGGUACCUGCAGAAAAAGCACCGGCUAACUACGUGCCAGCAGCCGCGGUAAUACGUAGGGUGCAAGCGUUGUCCGGAAUUAUUGGGCGUAAAGAGCUCGUAGGCGGUUUGUCGCGUCUGCUGUGAAAUCCCGAGGCUCAACCUCGGGCUUGCAGUGGGUACGGGCAGACUAGAGUGCGGUAGGGGAGAUUGGAAUUCCUGGUGUAGCGGUGGAAUGCGCAGAUAUCAGGAGGAACACCGAUGGCGAAGGCAGAUCUCUGGGCCGUAACUGACGCUGAGGAGCGAAAGCGUGGGGAGCGAACAGGAUUAGAUACCCUGGUAGUCCACGCCGUAAACGUUGGGCGCUAGAUGUAGGGACCUUUCCACGGUUUCUGUGUCGUAGCUAACGCAUUAAGCGCCCCGCCUGGGGAGUACGGCCGCAAGGCUAAAACUCAAAGGAAUUGAC
rnacentral:rRNA from 1 species